rnacentral:rRNA from 1 species
GAUGAACGCUAGCGGCAGGCCUAACACAUGCAAGUCGAGGGGUAACAGAAGAGAGCUUGCUUUCUUGCUGACGACCGGCGCACGGGUGCGUAACAGGUAUACAAUCUACCUCAUACUGGAGGAUAGCCCGGAGAAAUUCGGAUUAAUACUCCAUAAUAUGUUCGAUUCGCAUGUUUUGAACAUUAAAGAUUUAUCGGUAUGAGAUGAGUAUGCUUACUAUUAGCUAGUUGGUAAGGUAAUGGCUUACCAAGGCUACGAUAGUUAGGGGGCCUGAGAGGGUAGUCCCCCACACUGGUACUGAGACACGGACCAG